UACAGAGGUCUCAAGCGUUGUCCGGAAUCACUGGGCGUAAAGGGCGCGUAGGCGGCGCGGAUAGUCGGCGGUGAAAGCCCGGAGCUCAACUCCGGGUCGGCCGUCGAUACUUCCGGGCUUGAGCACUGUAGAGGCAGAUGGAAUUCCGGGUGUAGCGGUGGAAUGCGUAGAGAUCCGGAAGAACACCGGUGGCGAAGGCGGUCUGCUGGGCAGUUGCUGACGCUGAUGCGCGACAGCGUGGGGAGCAAACAGG
rnacentral:rRNA from 1 species